rnacentral:rRNA from 1 species
AGUCGAACGGUGAAGCCAAGCUUGCUUGGUGGAUCAGUGGCGAACGGGUGAGUAACACGUGAGCAACCUGCCCUGGACUCUGGGAUAAGCGCUGGAAACGGCGUCUAAUACUGGAUAUGAGCUCUCAUCGCAUGGKGGGGGUUGGAAAGAUUUUUCGGUUUGGGAUGGGCUCGCGGCCUAUCAGCUUGUUGGUGAGGUAAUGGCUCACCAAGGCGUCGACGGGUAGCCGGCCUGAGAGGGUGACCGGCCACACUGGGACUGAGACACGGCCCAGACUCCUACGGGAGGCAGCAGUGGGGAAUAUUGCACAAUGGGCGCAAGCCUGAUGCAGCAACGCCGCGUGAGGGAUGACGGCCUUCGGGUUGUAAACCUCUUUUGGUAGGGAAGAAGCCUUCGGRUGACGGUACCUGCAGAAAAAGCGCCGGCUAACUACGUGCCAGCAGCCGCGGUAAUACGUAGGGCGCAAGCGUUAUCCGGAAUUAUUGGGCGUAAAGAGCUCGUAGGCGGUCUGUCGCGUCUGCUGUGAAAUUCCGAGGCUCAACCUCGGGCUUGCAGUGGGUACGGGCAGACUAGAGUGCGGUAGGKGAGAUUGGAAUUCCUGGUGUAGCGRUGRAAUGCGCAGAUAUCAGGAGGAACMCCGAUGGYGAAGGCAKAUCUCUGGGCCGUUACUGACGCUGAGGARCGAAAGGGUGKGGARCAAACAGGCUUAGAUACCCUGGUAGUCCACCCCGUAAACGUUGGGAACUAGUUGUGGGG